ACACAUGCAGUCGAGGGGUAACAGAAAAGCUUGCUUUUGCUGACGACCGGCGCACGGGUGCGUAACGCGUAUGCAACCUACCUCAUACUGGAGGAUAGCCCCUGGAAACGGGGAUUAAUACUCCAUAGUAUCACAAUUUCGCAUGUUAUUGUGAUUAAAGUUUUUCGGUAUGAGAUGGGCAUGCGUCCCAUUAGCUUGUUGGUGAGGUAACGGCUCACCAAGGCAACGAUGGGUAGGGGGCCUGAGAGGGUGGUCCCCCACACUGGUACUGAGACACGGACCAGACUCCUACGGGAGGCAGCAGUGAGGAAUAUUGGUCAAUGGAGGAAACUCUGAACCAGCCAUGCCGCGUGAAGGAUGACGGCCCUAUGGGUUGUAAACUUCUUUUAUAGAGGAAGAAACUUGUCUACGUGUAGACAACUGACGGUACUCUACGAAUAAGGAUCGGCUAACUCCGUGCCAGCAGCCGCGGUAAUACGGAGGAUCCAAGCGUUAUCCGGAUUCAUUGGGUUUAAAGGGUCCGUAGGCGGAUUUUUAAGUCAGUGGUGAAAGCCGACAGCUCAACUGUCGAACUGCCAUUGAUACUGGAAAUCUUGAGUACAAAUGAAGUAGGCGGAAUGAGUCAUGUAGCGGUGAAAUGCAUAGAUAUGACUCAGAACACCGAUUGCGAAGGCAGCUUACUAACAUGUAACUGACGCUGAGGGACGAAAGCGUGGGGAGCGAACAGGAUUAGAUACCCUGGUAGUCCACGCCGUAAACGAUCAUCACUCGCUGUUGGCGAUAUACUGUCAGCGGCCAAGCGAAAGUAUUAAGUGAUGCACCUGGGGAGUACGCCGGCAACGGUGAAACUCAAAGGAAUUGACGGGGGCCCGCACAAGCGGUGGAGCAUGUGGUUUAAUUCGAUGAUACGCGAGGAACCUUACCAGGGCUUAAAUGUAGUUUGACCGGCUUGGAAACAGGCCUUCUCUUCGGA
rnacentral:rRNA from 1 species